CUACGGGUGGCUGCAGUGGGGAAUAUUGCACAAUGGGCACAAGCCUGAUGCAGCCAUGCCGCGUGUAUGAAGAAGGCCUUCGGGUUGUAAAGUACUUUCAGCGGGGAGGAAGGGAGUAAAGUUAAUACCUUUGCUCAUUGACGUUACCCGCAGAAGAAGCACCGGCUAACUCCGUGCCAGCAGCCGCGGUAAUACGGAGGGUGCAAGCGUUAAUCGGAAUUACUGGGCGUAAAGCGCACGCAGGCGGUUUGUUAAGUCAGAUGUGAAAUCCCCGGGCUCAACCUGGGAACUGCAUCUGAUACUGGCAGGCUUGAGUCUCGUAGAGGGGGGUAGAAUUCCAGGUGUAGCGGUGAAAUGCGUAGAGAUCUGGAGGAAUACCGGUGGCGAAGGCGGCCCCCUGGACGAAGACUGACGCUCAGGUGCGAAAGCGUGGGGAGCAAACAGGAUUAGAUACCCUCGUAGUC
rnacentral:rRNA from 1 species